AUUAACCAUCCUCAAAUUCUUCUUUCCAUUUUCAAUUCUUAAGUAUUUGCCUCCAUUACCAUGAAAAGAUCAAGUAAUUGCUCUAUUCAACAAUUUAAGGAUUCAACAUGAGGGAAUACGGAAAAAAGGCUGAGCACAUGAGAGCGGUAAAAAAGUACUACGCGCGGGUGUCGUGGGUGCUGAAAGAGCUCCAGCUUCAGCCAUGGCUUUAACUGAAGAACAACUAUUGGACCUUAACGACGUCGUCGACGAAGACAGAUACUACAACCAGCCAACCACAGAGCAUUAAUAUAGUUUUCAACAGUAACAAUGACGCUAAUGGACUAAAAAGCAAAAGCAGGAAAAAAAAAGGGAUAGAAUUCGGAGAACUGUUGAAUGCUAGUGUUGAAUACCUCCAGGUUGGAAGGAGAGCUGGUAUUUGUUAUUUGAACGAAGAGAGGAAGAGCAGCGACGGCGCGUGGAGCGCGAGGGACGGUGAGGACCGUGGCUAAAUAGGCUGCGUCAGUCGAGACAGGGGAAGGAGAGGCAACAGCUGCACUAAACCCCAGCAUCUUCACCAGCGGCUACUCGGGUUCGUCUGAACUUU
rnacentral:lncRNA from 1 species